rnacentral:rRNA from 1 species
GGUUAAGCGACUAAGCGUACACGGUGGAUGCCCUGGCAGUCAGAGGCGAUGAAGGACGUGCUAAUCUGCGAAAAGCGUCGGUAAGGUGAUAUGAACCGUUAUAACCGGCGAUGUCCGAAUGGGGAAACCCAGUGCAAUUCGUUGCACUAUCGUUAACUGAAUACAUAGGUUAACGAGGCGAACCGGGGGAACUGAAACAUCUAAGUACCCCGAGGAAAAGAAAUCAACCGAGAUUCCCCCAGUAGCGGCGAGCGAACGGGGAGCAGCCCAGAGUCUGAAUCAGCUUGUGUGUUAGUGGAACGGUCUGGAAAGUCCGACGGUACAGGGUGAUAGUCCCGUACACCAAAAUGCACAGGCUGUGAACUCGAAGAGUAGGGCGGGACACGUGGUAUCCUGUCUGAAUAUGGGGGGACCAUCCUCCAAGGCUAAAUACUCCUGACUGACCGAUAGUGAACCAGUACCGUGAGGGAAAGGCGAAAAGAACCCCGGCGAGGGGAGUGAAAAAGAACCUGAAACCGUGUACGUACAAGCAGUGGGAGCACCUUUAUGGUGUGACUGCGUACCUUUUGUAUAAUGGGUCAGCGACUUAUAUUCUGUAGCAAGGUUAACCGUAUAGGGGAGCCGCAGGGAAACCGAGUCUUAACUGGGCGUUAAGUUGCAGGGUAUAGACCCGAAACCCGGUGAUCUAGCCAUGGGCAGGUUGAAGGUUGGGUAACACUAACUGGAGGACCGAACCGACUAAUGUUGAAAAAUUAGCGGAUGACUUGUGGCUGGGGGUGAAAGGCCAAUCAAACCGGGAGAUAGCUGGUUCUCCCCGAAAGCUAUUUAGGUAGCGCCUCGUGAACUCAUCUUCGGGGGUAGAGCACUGUUUCGGCUAGGGGGUCAUCCCGACUUACCAACCCGAUGCAAACUACGAAUACCGAAGAAUGUUAUCACGGGAGACACACGGCGGGUGCUAACGUCCGUCGUGAAGAGGGAAACAACCCAGACCGCCAGCUAAGGUCCCAAAGUCAUGGUUAAGUGGGAAACGAUGUGGGAAGGCACAGACAGCCAGGAUGUUGGCUUAGAAGCAGCCAUCAUUUAAAGAAAGCGUAAUAGCUCACUGGUCGAGUCGGCCUGCGCGGAAGAUGUAACGGGGCUAAACCAUGCACCGAAGCUGCGGCAGCGACACGAUGUGUUGUUGGGUAGGGGAGCGUUCUGUAAGCCUGCGAAGGUGACCUGUGAGGGUUGCUGGAGGUAUCAGAAGUGCGAAUGCUGACAUAAGUAACGAUAAAGCGGGUGAAAAGCCCGCUCGCCGGAAGACCAAGGGUUCCUGUCCAACGUUAAUCGGGGCAGGGUGAGUCGACCCCUAAGGCGAGGCCGAAAGGCGUAGUCGAUGGGAAACAGGUUAAUAUUCCUGUACUUGGUGUUACUGCGAAGGGGGGACGGAGAAGGCUAUGUUAGCCGGGCGACGGUUGUCCCGGUUUAAGCAUGUAGGCUGGUUAUCCAGGCAAAUCCGGAUAAUCAAGGCUGAGGUGUGAUGACGAGGCACUACGGUGCUGAAGUAACAAAUGCCCUGCUUCCAGGAAAAGCCUCUAAGCAUCAGGUAACAUCAAAUCGUACCCCAAACCGACACAGGUGGUCAGGUAGAGAAUACCAAGGCGCUUGAGAGAACUCGGGUGAAGGAACUAGGCAAAAUGGUGCCGUAACUUCGGGAGAAGGCACGCUGGUGUGUAGGUGAAGUCCCUGCGGAUGGAGCUGAGACCAGUCGAAGAUACCAGCUGGCUGCAACUGUUUAUUAAAAACACAGCACUGUGCAAACACGAAAGUGGACGUAUACGGUGUGACGCCUGCCCGGUGCCGGAAGGUUAAUUGAUGGGGUUAUCCGUAAGGAGAAGCUCUUGAUCGAAGCCCCGGUAAACGGCGGCCGUAACUAUAACGGUCCUAAGGUAGCGAAAUUCCUUGUCGGGUAAGUUCCGACCUGCACGAAUGGCGUAAUGAUGGCCAGGCUGUCUCCACCCGAGACUCAGUGAAAUUGAACUCGCUGUGAAGAUGCAGUGUACCCGCGGCAAGACGGAAAGACCCCGUGAACCUUUACUAUAGCUUGACACUGAACAUUGAGCCUUGAUGUGUAGGAUAGGUGGGAGGCUUUGAAGCGUGGACGCCAGUCUGCGUGGAGCCAACCUUGAAAUACCACCCUUUAAUGUUUGAUGUUCUAACGUUGGCCCCUUACCGGGGUUGCGGACAGUGUCUGGUGGGUAGUUUGACUGGGGCGGUCUCCUCCCAAAGCGUAACGGAGGAGCACGAAGGUUAGCUAAUCCUGGUCGGACAUCAGGAGGUUAGUGCAAUGGCAUAAGCUAGCUUGACUGCGAGCGUGACGGCGCGAGCAGGUGCGAAAGCAGGUCAUAGUGAUCCGGUGGUUCUGAAUGGAAGGGCCAUCGCUCAACGGAUAAAAGGUACUCCGGGGAUAACAGGCUGAUACCGCCCAAGAGUUCAUAUCGACGGCGGUGUUUGGCACCUCGAUGUCGGCUCAUCACAUCCUGGGGCUGAAGUAGGUCCCAAGGGUAUGGCUGUUCGCCAUUUAAAGUGGUACGCGAGCUGGGUUUAGAACGUCGUGAGACAGUUCGGUCCCUAUCUGCCGUGGGCGCUGGAGAAUUGAGGGGGGCUGCUCCUAGUACGAGAGGACCGGAGUGGACGCAUCACUGGUGUUCGGGUUGUCAUGCCAAUGGCACUGCCCGGUAGCUAAAUGCGGAAGAGAUAAGUGCUGAAAGCAUCUAAGCACGAAACUUGCCCCGAGAUGAGUUCUCCCUGAGACUUUAAGUCUCCUGAAGGAACGUUAAAGACGAUGACGUUGAUAGGCCGGGUGUGUAAGCGCAGCGAUGCGUUGAGCUAACCGGUACUAAUGAACCGUGAGGCUUAACCUU